UCUUCUUCUUGCUUUCUUCCUCGCCAGCGGGCCAGCGCCGUUCCCCUCCCUUCCCGUUUCCGGCGAUCGUUCUACGCAAGGGAGGCGGCGAUCGACUUCCCCAGAGCCGCCGAUCCCUUUUCCGGCCUUCCCUCACGCUGAGCGUACCUGCGGUGGCGCGAGUUGAGCUGUCUCCCUCGACAGUCUCUGCUCCACGCCGUUUCCGGCGAUUCCAGGCCACGAAUCAGAUGCGAUCGACCUCCUUUCCUCCCCUGCUUUUCUUUUUAUGGCUUCAGUCUUGAGUGAUGUCGCCUGGAUCGGAAAAACCCAAAGAGGGGCGGCUGGCCGAAGGUUUAGAUGCGAUUUCCGACCAAACGAGGCACACUCAGCUCCAAUUGGUUGUAUAUUUGAGGUCUUUGCAUGAUUUCGAGCAGUUUGGCGUGCGGGUUGCUCAAUUCUGGGCUGUUUGGAUUUCUCCGACCACCGUGCACGGUGGACGGCGGCCGGCUGGCAAACCUCCGGCAAGGCACCAAGAGACAGAAUCUUCCUCUCAUCGCGUGGACUGUGGAAUCGUCGCCCGAAAUUCGAUUGAUUUACAAUUAUUUUACAGGCUUUAAGUGAGAGAAGUUCGGAUGCCCGGAUCUCGUACACUGCUUUAAAUACUUUCUUUUGACUGCUUCAUAAGGAACAACGCACAUCUGAUUGUAGAAGAAAAUGAGAGCAUAUGUUAUCAGGCUUCAUAUAUGGCGGAGCUAACGGAAAUAGACCAACCCAAAAGCGGAAUUGAUACAACUCGUCAAGUAAAGGAAUUUCCAGACUAUACUUGUUCAACUCCUCAGCUACCUCUCGUCUGCCAUGGCCCACUUUACUGGGAAACCCAACUCCAUUGACUUCUUUAUCUGUUAUCUAUUUGGGCGUCCAUUCUCCGUAUUUCUGCCCUUAUUCUCUCUCUGACUGCAGUGACAGCUGCUUCUCUAGGUCUUCUUUUUCGAUUUCUAUAUCGGAGUCUGAUGACUCCAUCGGCUGCUUCCCUUGUCCUUUAUCUUCUACUUCUAUUUAUUGAUGGCGCCAUUGGCUGCUUCCCUUCUCUGUGUGGAACACCAGUUACUUCUUUAGCUUCGGGUAAUUGAUCUUCAACUUUUUCACUUGAGCUCGCUCUGCUCUCUCCUGCUAUCUGAGUUUCCCUUUUCUCCUUUGCUAAAACAUUUUUCAUUCCCUUAAUCAUUGCGUCGAAGCACCUUCCUAAUUCCUUUUUAUCCUGAACAAAAAAAAAAUAAUUUAAACCAGGCGCUCCUUAUCUAAUAUUUAAUCUAAAUGGAAAUUUAUUGUUCUGAUAUUAGUUAAUUACCAGCCUCACACAUCCAAUUCCCAUUUUAUUAACCAUUGCGUAGAAGCCCCUCAUCAGUUUCCAUUGGCUCUGAAAUGAAAUUUAAUUUAGAUUCAAACUCAAAAUAUUGAUUAUUUAAUUUAAAUGAAAAUUAUUGUGUCUCAUGCAAAUAAAUUAUUACCCAUUUGCCAAAUUUUGAAUCUGAAAGCGCAUUCUUGACUCUUUGAAACUCAUUAGGAUUCCUCUAAGGACCAACAGCAAUUAGAACAGCUGAUGUCGCCAUAAGGGAAGGUUUAUACUUCCGUUAUCAGGCUUCAUAUAUGGCGGAGGCUUGCCUAUCAUGGGCUUACUUGCUUAUACGGCUGGUAUUCCAUUUUUUAAAUUUGCGUUUUUGCUUUUCAAGUCUAUUUCCCUAAAUUACUAAUAUGUCUGCCUCAUUUACAGCCAACAAAAAUAUACCAUCCCAAAAGCAGAAUCGAUAUAACUCGUCGAGUAAAGGUGCAACACUGUAUAGAUAGUGGACUUCAACGAAUAGGAUCAGAACAACCUAUUAAUGCUUUAAACUUCGUGAAAUCCUUUCUGUCUCAAGCUCGAGGAAGACCUAUGUGAACCAGAUAUUUGUUCAAGGCCAUGAAGGUAUAUAUUUGUUAUGUCUGUAAUUAAGAAGAAAAGUACAUUAGUUUGAGCAAUUAAAAUCAAAUUAGACGAAUUAGAACAAAUAUAUACUUUCAUGGGCUUGAACAGGUAUUUGGUUCUCAUGGGUCUUCUUUGAGCUCGGGACUCCAGCUCUAGACAGAAAGGGUUUCACGAAGUUUAAAGCGUUAACAAGUUGUUUUGGUCCUAUUCGUUGGAGUCUACUAUCUAUACGGCGUUGCACCUUUACUCGACGAGUUAUAUCGAUUCCGCUUUUGGGUUGGUCUAUUUCCGUUGGCUGUAAAUGAGGCGGAUAUAUUAGUAAUUUAAUGAAAUAGACUUGAAAAGCAAAAAUGCAAAUUUUAAAAAUGGAAUACCAGUCGUAUAAGCAAGUAAGCCCUUGAUAGGCAGGCCUCCGCCAUAUAUGAAGUCUGAUAACGGAAGUAUAAACCUUCUCUUAUGGCGGCAUCAGCUGUUCUAAUUGAUGUUGGUCCUUGGAGGAAUCCUAAUGAGUUUCAAAGAGUCAAGAAUGCGUUUUCAGAUGCAAAAUUUGGUAGAUGGGUAAUAAUUUAUUUGCAUGAGACAUAAUAAUUUUCAUUUAAAUUAAAUAAUCAAUAUUUUGAGUUUGAAUCUAAAUUAAAUUUCAUUUCAGAGCCAAUGGAAACUGAUGAGAGGCUUCUACGCAAUGGUUAAUAGAAUGGGAAUUGGAUGUGUGAGGUUAGUAAUUAACUAAUAUCAGAACGAUAAAUUUCCAUUUAGAUUAAAUAUUAAAUAAGGAGCUGUCUGGUUUAAAUUAAUUUUUUUUUUUUUUUUUGUUCAGGAUAAAAAGGAAUUAGGAAGGUGCUUCGACGCAAUGAUUAAGGGAAUGAAAGAUGUUUUAGUGGAUGAGAAAAGAGAAACUCAAACAGCAGGAGUGAGCUCAAGUGAAAAAGUUGAAGAUCAAUUACCUAAAGCUGAAGAAGUAACUAGUGUUCCACAUGGAGAAAGGAAGCAGCCAAUGGCGCCAUCAAUAAAUAGAAGUAGAAGAUAAAGUACAAGAGAAGCAGCCAAUGGAGUCAUCAGACUCCGAUUUAGAAAUCGAAAAAGAAGACCUAGAGAAGCAGCUGUCACCGCAGUCAGAGAGAGAGAAUAAGGGCAGAAAUACGGAGAAUAGACGCCCAAAUAGAUUAACAGAUAAGAAAGUUAAUGGAGUUGGUUUUCCCAGUAAUGUAGGCCAUGGCAGGUGAGGAGUUGAAUAAGUAUAGUUUGGAAUUGUUCCUGGAGCCUGCAGAGGAGGGGAUUCUAGCAAAGAUCACGGCCUGCUGCAACCGCUAAGGAGUGUCUAUGCUUUAAAUUUCAAACUGGAAACUUAUAUUUCAUACUCUCUCAAACAUUUUCCAAAGAAGUGCCUAUGUUUUCUUAAAUUGGGAAAUUAUGUUUUUUUUUUAUCUUUUUCUCUUUUGAUGAGAUGUUCUGAUGGCACUAUAUAUCUUAAGAAUGAAAGCUUGCAGGUCGGUGUGUUUUUCUUUUGCUUGAACUGGUGGAGUUUAUGGAUCUCCAUUUUUGC